rnacentral:rRNA from 1 species
GUCCACGCUGUAAACGAUGAGUGCUAGGUGUCGUGGGUAUUGACCCCGCGGUGCCGCAGCUAACGCAUUAAGCACUCCGCCUGGGAAGGUACGGUCGCAAGACUAAAACUACAAGGAAUUGACGGGGGCCCGGCACAAGCGGUGGAGCAUGUGGUUUAAUUCGACGCAACGCGCAGAACCUUACCUGGGCUGGAAAGUGUUCGGAAGUCCGAUGAAAGUUGGAUGUGCCCGCAAGGGAGCCGAGUGACAGGUGCUGCAUGGCUGUCGU